UCGAAAUACAUUUGAAAAUUUAACAAAAACGUACUUAAAAUAAUAAAUUGGAUAGCAUAACACAGAAACACACUCGUGCAUUUUCUAAGGUAUUUGGCCGUUUUAGUAGUAGAAUAUUUAGGAAACCCUAACGAACUUCCUGGGCUUUUGCCCUGAGUCUUCCCUCAUUCUAUUGCAUUCUUAAUGUAAUUUCUGUCAUUCUAUAAGCUUUCGCCUGCGUAUGUAUGGGUGAAAAUUAUAGGAUUUGUUACUUAUAGGUUUAUACAAUGGCUACGACUGAGUAUAGACGUCUGCAAAAAGUGCGCGGUUUUACGAACCAUGUCUUACAAAAGCGAACAAAGACGACUCCAGGCCCCGUUUGAACAAGUUAGCAGUGACAAUGAAGAAUGCAGUUCAGAGGAGGAAGAUGAAGUCGACCACAUAUCAGAGCGAAGUCAAGGCAGUGAUACGGAACAAGAAUGUAGCGAUAAUGAGCAAGAAGCAAUUGUUUCAACCAGUAACCAGCAGUUUUAUAUUGGUAAAGACAAUUCUACUAAAUGGUUUUCGCAGCCACCUAAGACUAAUGUUCGCACAAGGGCAGAAAAUGGCGAACCGAUGAGCUGUUUACGUUUCGAUAAUGUGUCAACACACAAAGAACGAAAAAAACUAGAUAAUCUGGCUCCGAUUGGAUCUAUUUUUGAUGAGUUUGUGUCAAACUGUAAGAAUACUUAAGUAUACUCCCAACGAAUAUGUUACAAUUGACGAAAAGCUGGAAGUAUUUCGCGAUAGGUGUUCGUUUCGACAAUAUAUUCCGAAUAAACCUGCAAAAUAUGGGAUACAAAUUUAUGCUUUGGUUGAUGCAAAAAACUUUUAUACGCUCAACCUUGAAAUUUAUCCCGGUAAAUAGCCUAAUGGGCAAUUUUUGCAAAGGACGUUGUAGACGGAUUAGUGCAGCCUAUUUCUAAAGAAAAAUCAUAAACUAACAACUACAGGUACUUUACGUAAAAGCAAAAAAGAAAUUCCACCAAACUUUAUAAUUACGCGAGGAAAAGAAGUUUACAGCACUCAGUUUGCAUUCCAGAAAGAUAUGACGCUUAUUUCCUACAUGCCUAAACGGUCUAAAGUAGUGCUGGUACUGUCUUCUCUUCAUCAUGACCCAAACAUUGAUCCAUAGUGGUAAUAAACGGAAACCAGAGAUCAUCACGUUUUAUAAUUCUACGAAAGCUGGCGUCGAUGUAGUUGAUGAACUCUGUGCUACCUACGAUGUAUCCCGAAACUCUAAACGUUGGCCAAUGACAGUAUUCUAUGCAGUCACGAAUGUAGCUGCAAUAAAUAGUGUAAUUAUUUUUCGUGAAAAUAAUGACUCUAAAACAAACCGACGUGAUUUCCUUAGAAAACUAGGUCUUUCAAUGCUUGAAGGGCAUCUUCGCGUGAGGAAAAAUAUGGAAAACUUACCGAGAGGCUUACGUAAACGUAUUCACGACCAAGUUGGUGAAACCAUGACUUACCCUCCGAAUAAAAGUUCGAAAACAUAUACUAGACGUAGAGACUGUCCUUCUGUUAAAGAUAAAAAAAAACUAAGCACACCUGUAAUAAUUGUAACAAGCCUAUUUGUAUGCAACAUAUUGUCUCAUUGUGCCAAAGUUGUGUUGAUCACAAUAGCGAAUAACAAUGUAAGUUAUAAAUUAGCUUUGUUUUCUAUAGUUAAUAAUAACAUAAUAUAAUAAUUGUAUGUUUAGUACCAAAGUGGUAAAUAUUUUUGUUUUUGAGUUUAAUUUUUAAGUUAUGCUCUCACGAUUGAUCUCAGAAUAAAAAAUGUUGUUUUUUUAUUUG